rnacentral:rRNA from 1 species
UUCGUCACACUAUCAUUAACUGAAUCCAUAGGUUAAUGAGGCGAACCGGGGGAACUGAAACAUCUAAGUACCCCGAGGAAAAGAAAUCAACCGAGAUUCCCCCAGUAGCGGCGAGCGGACGGGGAGCAGCCCAGAGCCUGAAUCAGUGUGUGUGUUAGUGGAAGCGUCUGGAAAGGCGUGCGAUACAGGGUGACAGCCCCGUACACAAAAAUGCACAUAUUGUGAGCUUGAUGAGUAGGGCGGGACACGUGGUAUCCUGUCUGAAUAUGGGGGGACCAUCCUCCAAGGCUAAAUACUCCUGACUGACCGAUAGUGAACCAGUACCGUGAGGGAAAGGCGAAAAGAACCCCGGCGAGGGGAGUGAAAAAGAACCUGAAACCGUGUACGUACAAGCAGUGGGAGCACGCUUAGGCGUGUGACUGCGUACCUUUUGUAUAAUGGGUCAGCGACUUAUAUUCUGUAGCAAGGUUAACCGAAUAGGGGAGCCGAAGGGAAACCGAGUCUUAACUGGGCGUUAAGUUGCAGGGUAUAGACCCGAAACCCGGUGAUCUAGCCAUGGGCAGGUUGAAGGUUGGGUAACACUAACUGGAGGACCGAACCGACUAAUGUUGAAAAAUUAGCGGAUGACUUGUGGCUGGGGGUGAAAGGCCAAUCAAACCGGGAGAUAGCUGGUUCUCCCCGAAAGCUAUUUAGGUAGCGCCUCGUGAAUUCAUCUCCGGGGGUAGAGCACUGUUUCGGCA